rnacentral:rRNA from 1 species
GACGUGGGGGGCCAGCGUUGCUCGGAAUUACUGGGUGUAAAGGGUUCGUAGGCGGUGUGGCAAGUCGGGAGUGAAAUCUCUGGGCUUAACCCAGAGACUGCUUCCGAAACUGCUGUGCUUGAGUGUGGGAGAGGCGCGUGGAAUUGCAGGUGUAGCGGUGAAAUGCGUAGAUAUCUGCAGGAACACCCGUGGCGAAAGCGGCGCGCUGGACCACUACUGACGCUGAGGAACGAAAGCGUGGGGAGCGAACAGG